AGUGAACGCUGGCGGUAGGCCUAGCACAUGCAAGUCGAACGGCAGCACAGUAAGAGCUUGCUCUUACGGGUGGCGAGUGGCGGACGGGUGAGGAAUACAUCGGAAUCUACUUUUUCGUGGGGGAUAACGUAGGGAAACUUACGCUAAUACCGCAUACGACCUACGGGUGAAAGCAGGGGAUCUUCGGACCUUGCGCGAUUGCAUGAGCCGAUGUCGGAUUAGCUAGUUGGCGGGGUAAAGGCCCACCAAGGCGACGAUCCGUAGCUGGUCUGAGAGGAUGAUCAGCCACACUGGAACUGAGACACGGUCCAGACUCCUACGGGAGGCAGCAGUGGGGAAUAUUGGACAAUGGGCGCAAGCCUGAUCCAGCCAUACCGCGUGGGUGAAGAAGGCCUUCGGGUUGUAAAGCCCUUUUGUUGGGAAAGAAAAGCAGCAGGUUAAUACCCCGCUGUUCUGACGGUACCCAAAGAAUAAGCACCGGCUAACUUCGUG
rnacentral:rRNA from 1 species